CCUGGGAUGGCAGAGAGAGGAGGGGAAGGGGCCAGGGACAGAAGGAAUGGCAGGGCUUCAGAUGCUCCCUUGGACCCCUCCCCUGACACCAAGGAGAGCUCCUCUUCUGCGGCUGAAAGCAUUGGCGUGGUUUGAUUUUAUCAGUAUUGCAAGGAAGCAUAGAGGGAAAGGUAAAGAACACCUAUACGGUUUAUUAAAGUAUCUGUGAUUUUUCCUCUGUGUGAGUUCGUUGAUGUCUUCUAAGUGCUCCACUUUCACUGAAGCUCUUUCCACAUUCAACACAUUUAAAUGGUUUCUCCCCUGUAUGAGUUCGUUGGUGCAUUCUAAGUGUAUCAUUUCGACUGAAGCUCUUUCCACAUUCAACACAUUUAAAUGGUUUCCCCCUGUAUGAGUUCGUUGGUGCAUUCUAAGUGCUCCGCUUAUGCUAAAACUCUUUCCACAUUCAAUACAUCUAAAUGGUUUCUCCCCUGUGUGAGUUCGUUGGUGUAUUCUAAGUUCUCCACUUUCACUGAAGCUCUUUCUACACUCAAAACAUUCAAAUGGUUUCUCCCCUGUGUGAGUUCGUUGGUGUCUUCUAAGGUUUCCACUUUCACUGAAGCUCUUUCCACAUUCAGGACAUCUAAAUGGUUUCUCACCUGUGUGAGUUCGUUGAUGUAUUUUAAGGUGUUCAUAUCGACUGAAGCUCUUUCCACAUUCAAUACAUUUAAAUUGUUUCUCCCCUGUAUGAGUUCGUUGGUGUUUUCUAAGUGUAUCAUUUCGACUGAAGCUCUUUCCACAUUCAACACAUUUAAAUGGUUUCUCCCCUGUAUGAGUUCGUUGGUGUAUUCUAAGUGAUCCCCUAUCACUGAAGCUCUUUCCACAUUCAAUACAUCUAAAUGGUUUCUCCCCUGUGUGAGUUCGUUGGCAAGGAAAUGGAUUUCUGUUCCACACUCCCCUCAUGAAGCCCACCACAAGAUAUAUUGCUUUCACGCACACAGCAACCCUGCGAGGAAGGUUUCGUAUAAAGAUGGUGACCAGCUUUAAGUUGCCCAAUUUGCCUGCCCCAAAUCAAGGUACACUGUGCCUACACAUGGAGGUUCUGUUGAUCUGUCAUGGCAAUUAAAACAGCUGAUAGAUCUAUACUCCAGAGAAUGCAUCUGAUCUUUUCCCAAGCUGUCAAAGUUAGUGACCUCUUGUGUCUGCGUGUAAAUAAGUGAGACAGGCUUAAGCCUGGUUUCAUUAAUUGUUUUAUUUCCACCUUCCUCAGUAAGGCAAAUGAAGGCUGAGGGUUGAAGUGAGUGCCAGAUUUGAGAAGGCAGAGGAAAGGAGGAUUCUAUGUUCAGAUUAUUCAUGUUCAGAUUAUUACUCAUUUCAUUUCACUGCUGCUUCAUAUUUUUAAGGGGAAAAAAUCUCAAAGCAAUUAAUGGAAAAUCUCAUUGCAGUUUGUGUCCAUAGGAUCUUGAGAGCAUUAACUCUGUAGAUCCAGUUCUCUCCUCCUGAUAGUCUCAGAUUUGAGACUGUUCUUUCUGAUAGAACAGGAGGAACGGAAGAUUUAUGGGCUUAAAGCUGCAUUGCUUCUGGAGGCCACAUUCCAGUGAGCUUUGUGGCCAAUGUAUGCACAUGCAUGCGCACACAGAAAAGAGAUGCAGACCAUAAAGUCACAUGCACACACGCCAGAGGUGCUGCACACACUCACCAGACAUGCCAUCUAGCAUACAUACAAGUCUUGCAAACACAAUCAGCAUGUUUAGACCUUCCAAUCCCAGUGCUGGGGUGGAGGAGAAAUAAGAGCACCAGAAGACUCUGCUGAAUUAGCAAUGAGAUCUGUGGAAAAAGACCCUUCUGAUUGUUCUUUAGAAAUCCUCUUUAAAGAGCAGCCAGAGGGAUCAUUUAUUUCCAGAGAAGGGCUUUUACCCCAUUUCAGCACUGUGCUUGUUUGUGGUGAAAUUGGAGUUGAAAAUAUCUCUCUAUGGGCCCCUUAGGCAUCUUUCUCUCCAGGACAGACAGAGAUCUUCAUCCUAUGAUCAGAUAAGGAAAUGGAAACCGCAGGGACUAGCAGGACACAUGAAGUGGGUUGUUUGAUUUUGUUGGCCAAUAUUCCUUUUGCCUGUUUGUUUCUUAGGCUGUGCAGAUCCCAUACAUUUAAAGCACGUGGCUUCCCCCAGAGAACCACGGGACCUGUAGUUUAUUGCUACAGUUCUCAACACCCCUAACCAACUGCAGCUCGCAGGAUUUCUUGGGUGAAGUCAUGUGAGAGCCAGUGUGGUGUAGUGGUUAAGAGCGGUAGUCUCGUAAUCUGGGAAACCGGGUUCACGUCUCCUCUCCUCCACAAAAUGCAGCUCGCAGGAUUUCUUGGGUGAAGCCAUGUACUUUAAAUGUUAGGUGGGUCUGUCGCAGCCUUAAUCAUAUACAAGGAUCUGUUGCUGCCUUUCCAACAUGCUAGAAGUUGCAGCCAGGAUCAGCAUUCCCUGUCCACGGAACAUGCUCAGUCCUCUCACUGGGUUGUUUUUGGAUUUCCUUCCACUGCCUUGGUUCCCCCACCCCCAAAUAUUAUUUGUACUUCCAUAAACCUUGAUGUUUCCCCCAGUCUUUGGAUAACUUCCCCUCCUCCCUGGGUGGAGCCGUUUGGGUGACAUAAUGAUUGUCAUUCAUAGGCUGAACAUUAGAAAUAGAAAGAGUAAUAAUAUAUUUCAAAAACUGGCAAAUGGUUAAAAAUUGUGCUUUAGUUUUUAUUCUUGAGUUUUAUUUUACUUUGUGUUUAUUUCUUUUCCAGGAGGGUGAUGUAAAAAUUGAAGAGCACGGACCCAGGGAGAGGGAGAGACUGGAGUGCAAAGGAAAGAAACCUCCUGCCGGCCAAGUUGGGACCAUCAGGGAUCUUCUGCCUCGGGCAGAUUCAUGUCAACUUAAGCAGGAGCCAGAGGAGGAGCAGUCACAGCAGCACUGGGAGGCCCAGAAGCAGGAUUUCCUGAAGACGAUGCAGCCCCCUCGUUCAGGGUGGGAAACCCCACAGGCUCCCAGUCCUCCCCACUCCGGGGAUGGUGUCCUCUCCUUCAGGGGAGCUGCGGAUGCCAGUCGGUG